GAUGAACGCUGGCGACGUGCCUAAUACAUGCAAGUCGAGCGAACAGACGAGGAGCUUGCUCCUCUGACGUUAGCGGCGGACGGGUGAGUAACACGUGGAUAACCUACCUAUAAGACUGGGAUAACUUCGGGAAACCGGUGCUAAUACCGGAUAAUAUAUUGAACCGCAUGGUUCAAUAGUGAAAGACGGUUUUGCUGUCACUUAUAGAUGGAUCCGCGCCGCAUUAGCUAGUUGGUAAGGUAACGGCUUACCAAGGCGACGAUGCGUAGCCGACCUGAGAGGGUGAUCGGCCACACUGGAACUGAGACACGGUCCAGACUCCUACGGGAGGCAGCAGUAGGGAAUCUUCCGCAAUGGGCGAAAGCCUGACGGAGCAACGCCGCGUGAGUGAUGAAGGUCUUCGGAUCGUAAAACUCUGUUAUUAGGGAAGAACAAAUGUGUAAGUAACUAUGCACGUCUUGACGGUACCUAAUCAGAAAGCCACGGCUAACUACGUG
rnacentral:rRNA from 1 species